GUCAGGAUGGCUGAGCGGUCUAAGGGGCUGUGUUCAGGUCUCAGUUUCCCCCUGGAGGCAUGGGUUCAAAUCCCACUUCUGACA